AUAAAUACACACAUGUAGACAUAUACUAUAAGCAUUACUGUUAUUUCUCUCUUCCUGUUUUCUCUUAGCACAUAGAUUUAAUCUUGACCCACAAGUUGUGGCAUUUUAUUCUGAGUCUCUUCGGGAACCCACUGGGAGGGGUCAGUGAGAAUAAAAGCAGUGUGGUGCUGAGCUGCUGCCGGGUGACAGCACCGCAGUCCUCGUGGUGCCCAACGUGGGGCCUGAAGGGUGCAGAUCCCCACAGCUGUGAGCAGAAUGUGUUCCAACACAACUGCUCUCAGCAGUACAGCAGCCUCAGAACUGCUGCUCACAGCACUGAGCUGUUCCUUCCCUCUGGGCCAUCCCAGCUCUCAGGGCUGUUUCCUUCCCUGCGCUGGCACUGCUUGAUGCAGUCACUGAACCCAGAGGUGAAUUUCCACCUCAAGGGAAGCAACCUAUGGCACCUACCAACUUGUGCUAAAGGGAAAGGCUGCAGCAUGUGCGUAUCUAUACCCCAAAUUGGAGAAUAGGAGAAGCAAAGCCCAGAUCAGAAGCCCAGCGGGUGCUAUUUCCUGGCACCGGAUGCAGAUACCGGCAGGUCUGCCACAAAGCAAGAAGUGGCUCUGGGGUUUGUCAUUUUGGGGACAGUCUUGUGAACUUGUGAUCUAUGGACGGGGAAAAUAGCAGCGUGGAUUUCAGGCAUUCUGCAAGUGGUUUUUCUCCUGCUGAGAAGCACGAUGCUCCCACCCUCUGCCCGCGCUGGCACCGGGUCUUCCUGAAAGCGACUGCUCUGGGGCUGCUGCUGCUACUGCUGACUGCGCUCGGCGUGCAGGAGUUUCCUGGAAAGCAACACCACAUCCAAGCACUCCCCAGCACAGCGCUGAGAUCCGGGGGAGGAAUGGGGUGGAGCCGUGUGUGACCUCUUCCCUUCUGCAGUAUCUUUACCGAUCCACCAGGGGCAGCAACCUGGAAGGACCACGGAGGAGCAGCUGCUGAGGGAAGCUGUAGGGAAGGAGCCUGGGAUGGGGGAUAGCACUCGAGGUUGUGGGGACGUAUGGGGGGGGAAUCUUGGGGAGCACAUUUUUGGGAGCACUCGACAGAUGUGAGGGGUGGGGAACAGAGAGGCAGUCUCCCUGGGGGUUCCCACAGGGCUGCGGUGUCACUGAGGGAAAUGUGGCUUUUCCUGAACCGCAGAUGUCUGCUAUGAGGAGAGGGGGGAGGACCUCAAAACUGGGGCAAAUGUAUUUAAAAAGGAGAUCCAUCGCUGUAGAGCACAAGUAGGGCCCACAGCACACACUGCCCCAUAGAUUUGGUGACCCACACUCAACUAUGGACCCCCCCCAAAACCAUGUCCCAUUGCUCACCUCACAAAGUUGGAGUCCCUUCAACCAACCACGACCCAUAGAUUUGGAGAUGCCACAAUCACCUGUGGAACUCCAAACGCUGCCCCACAGACCACCCCAUGGAUUUGGAGACAACGUGUGACACAUGAGGGGUGACAGCCUGUGUGGGGCACCCCAGUAAGGGCAGCGUGUGCCACUCCACAAGUUCCAUCCCAUUGUAGUCCACAUGGUGCAAAAACUAGGGGAACACAAUUU
rnacentral:lncRNA from 7 species